rnacentral:ncRNA from 1 species
GAUUUUGUGAGGAGACAUGAUGAAUGUAGUAUAUGUGAAAAUGGGUGCUUCUGUGCCCAGCGCAAAUGAAAUACCACUGCUAUCAUUGUUUCUUUACUUAUUCAGUGAAACAGGAACGAAAUUGUAUUUAGGUUCAAAGCACGUUUCGGGGUGCGUGGUCUAUCACUGCGUGCUUCGGUAUCUUGGUCGUGUGAGAUGAGUCGUGUUGCAAAAUUGAGGUGUUUGAGUCUUAAAGUGAAUUGCGACCCGUUCUGAAGACCACGUC